GGGGGCGAUUGGCUUCGACGGUGAUCGUAGGCCAGCGGUGCAUGUCGAGUGGCGCAAUAACGCUCGUAAAACAACCAGUUGCAAAUUUGUAGAUGCAAAUGAUGCAAUCUAUAACGCUGCAGACGCAGUAGGAGUUGCUGCUUAAGCAACCUCUUCUGCAGCCGCCUAAAAAACGGCAACAGCCUACUCUCAGGUCCGCUUAUCGGUUUGAGUCAGUAGUCAGAUAGGUAAGAUCGUCAUGUUGUUGUGGCCCAUGGCAACGUGAUUAAAACACAGGGCUCGCUGUGUGCUAAGCCCGACUGCUGGCGUACACACAGUUAAAACCAAAUGCAGCUCUAAGCAUGUAGAGCCAAUGGAUGAAAAUUAUCGGACGCGGGUUCAAUUCCCGCCGCCUCCACAU
rnacentral:tmRNA from 1 species